UACAGAGGUCCCAAGCGUUGUUCGGAUUCACUGGGCGUAAAGGGUGCGUAGGUGGCUAGGUAAGUUUGAUGUGAAAGCUCUGGGCUCAACCCAGAAAUGGCAUUGAAUACUAUCUAGCUAGAGGAGUGGAGGGGGACUGGAAUACUUGGUGGUAGCAGUGAAAUGCGUAGAUAUCAAGUGGAACACCAGUGGCGAAGGCGAGUCCCUGGACACUUCCUGACACUGAGGCACGAAAGCUAGGGGAGCAAACAGG
rnacentral:rRNA from 1 species